CCUACGGGAGGCAGCAGUGAGGAAUAUUGGUCAAUGGACGAGAGUCUGAACCAGCCAAGUAGCGUGAAGGAUGACUGCCCUAUGGGUUGUAAACUUCUUUUAUAUGGGAAUAAAAUGUUCCACGUGUGGGAUUUUGUAUGUACCAUAUGAAUAAGGAUCGGCUAACUCCGUGCCAGCAGCCGCGGUAAUAAGGAGGAUCCUAGCGUUAUCCGGAUUUAUUUGGUUUAAAGGGAGCGUAGGUGGAUUGUUAAGUCAGUUGUGAAAGUUUGCGGCUCAACCGUAAAAUUGCAGUUGAAACUGGCAGUCUUGAGUACAGUAGAGGUGGGCGGAAUUCGUGGUGUAGCGGUGAAAUGCUUAGAUAUCACGAAGAACUCCGAUUGCGAAGGCAGCUCACUGGACUGCAACUGACACUGAGGCUCGAAAGUGUGGGUAUCAAACAGGAUUAGAUACCCUUGUAGUC
rnacentral:rRNA from 1 species